GUUGAGGCAGUAGAAAAAAAAUCUUGUUUUCUGACAAAAGUAGUGUAAAACAAGUCCAAGUCACUGGGUAUAGCUGGAGGUAUCCAAAUACAGCUCCAUCAUAGGUCCAUUUCUGGAUCUGUACUUGGAGGAUAUGGAGAUACCACCGGGAGUACUAGGAGAUACUACUGAACUGGCCUCUGCCUUGAAUUUAGAGAAAACCUUCACUUGGUUUCCUUGUUAACAGAUAAGCCUUUCUUUUGAUGUCCUGAAGAGUAACAUUCCUCUCUCUGAUUUUAAUGCCCUAAAGUCCCUUCUCACCAUACAAUUAUUGCCACUAACAUGGCAUGUUCAUAGCCAUGCCACCCAAACCACAGGGAGAACAUCACCCAUAAAUCAUUGCUUCUCUAUACAGCAGUCUUUUCCUCUGCACUAAGAAAGCUUAUGCUGUGUAGAGGCCACUUUCAAAAUAGGAAAAGGCAUUUCCAGAUCUUGUCCUUAGCACAAACACCUUUGGGAAGAGCAUAGCAAACAUUUGCUCCUUUCUCCUCACAGCUGUUUCCAGGAGCCUUUGCAAAUCAAUUCAGCAUGAAGGGAAAACAAGAAAACCAAAGAAGCGGCUUUAAAAAAAAUUCGUGACGUCAAGCAGGGUCCAGUGGCUCUUAUCUGUAAUACAAGCAUUUGGGAAGCUGAGGCAGGAGGACUGCUGUGAGUCUGAGACCAGCUUGAGCUACAAAUAAUACUGUUUCAAAAAACAAAACAAAACGAACAAAGAAAAAGAAGAGCCAUGAUGUCAAGAGCUACCAUGAAGUAUCUCUUGGAUGACUCUAAUGGUAUCAACAAACUCAACUCCUUAGAACAACCAUGUGGUGAAGUGACCAGCAGAAGCCACAGAAAUGGCCACUGUCUGGCAUUCAGGAGAAGUUUUGCAUGAUUUCCUUCAUGACUGCACAUGGCUUCGCCUUGCCUGCUUCUUAAAAAUGUUCAAUGGCAUGCAGAUACAUUUUCUGCACUGACUGUUCUUACCCAAUGCAAUUCCUUAUCUAAUGUCCCAGAGUGCUAACAUAGGCAGGCUGUAUCUAUGGAAUAUACUUUCUUUCGCCUCAGUGUCUCUAAGGCUUUAUUGGGAAAAGUGUUAGAGAAUACAGAAAUAUUAGCCUGAAAAAUCUUUCGAAUAUUCUCCAUAAAGAAAAUUCUUUUGUCCUAAGUAUUAGCAAGUAUACUCCUUCUCUUGCCUAUCCCAGCUAUCUCAUGAAAGGGGUCAUAAUAAUUAUUUUCUUUGUCAUUAUUAGCCCAGUUCUGUUCUUGUAGACAACAGAUUUGUAUUGUGCUUAAAUGUCUUUGGGUAAAUGCCUAUCCACAUGAUCACUGGCCAUUGUAGGCCCUGUAUCUGGGGUGGUCACAUCAUCCACAGUCACAGAACUGGGUGAGGCUCUUCUUUAAGGUAGAAUGUUAGGAGAACAUAUCCUCUUCUUUCUUCUCUCUUGUGGAACUUCAUGAAAGGCUUGGCUCUUCUUUCUCUUGUCUGAAUCAAGAGCUGGAGGGUCUCUCUGAGCCCUGAUAGGAUAAGAACCGUGUCCUUGGGCAGUCUACAUGGCUCCUGGUCCCUUGGCUGCCCUUAGAGAUGUGUCUGCACCUUUAUUGCCAUGAGUUGGCUUCUGGAACCCCAGAAGCACUGGAAGAUGAACGUCCUUUUAGGGAACCCAUUCUUCUCUUCUGGUCUGGCCGCUUUUGUUCUUUCUCUUCCUGUCUCUCUUGCAUGUAGCCAAAGCUGCCUUUGGAUUUCUCAUCCUGUUGCUACUGUUUCCUGAGUGACAGGAUUGCAGGUAUACAGCAUGCCUGGUUUACGGGGCUCAAGCCCAGGGCUUUGUGCAUGCUCAACAAGCAUGCUACCAACUGAGCUAUAUCCCAACCUCCAUUUUGCUUUCUUUAUGAAGCUCCAGUUUUUUAAACUAGCCGUACUACAUGCUUGGGUGAAGAGUUGCAGAAUGCAUUGGUAAAUGCCACUGCAAUUUCUUUUUUCUUUUCUUUUGUAUAAUAAAAAUGACUACUGGCGUGCUUUGGUAAGAGAUCAAGUAGCCCAGAAAGGAGACUGGGUCUGUUGAAGUCAGCGGGAUACUCUUCUUGGUUUUUAGUCCCAGAAGUACAAUUUAGUAGAGAGGAAGUUUCAAUUGCCCAGUGUUCAGAAAUCUGAGAAAAAGUACUUUCUUAGGUACUGCCUGGUAACCCAGAUGGGCAAGUGUUUGGGAAAGACGAGCUGGAAGAGCGAGGCUCGCCCUCUGGCCAAUAGGUAGUGCUGAGGGUAAAAGACUGCAAGUGUUUGGAUUCGGGACUAUGCUCUUGCCCACCUAAUGACGGACUGCACUGAGCUUCUGCUUUUCCAUUUGAGAUAAUCUCCCACUCCUUGCCAAAAACAAAAAAACAAAACAAAAACAAAACCGAUUCUCAGCGAGAUGUAUGUUGAUUCUUUGAAUAAAUCUUGAAAUAGGACCAUUUGAGGACAGUUCUGAUCAUCUAUGCUGGGACCUGGACAGAUCCAUGGGAAUUUGAACCCUGAAGGGCAUCUUCUCUCCGUGAAUUGGGUAGUAGUUGCAUCAAGGUUUGGUACAUGGGGGUGAUCCUGGGAGGACAAAUGACUGUUAAGACACCACUGACAUGACCAGUGGCUUGGACUAAGUGAAAAGCACCAUUUGAUUUCCUUUAUCAACAGAGAGACCUUUCUCCUUCCUGCUUCAUUAGUGACAUUUUUCUUGCUGGUGUCAGUGCCUGGGAGUGAGCUCUGGGAGUACAGUGUUCCCUCCUUUCCUGGGAGCUGGCUCUGCUUCAGGUAGUCUUCAUAAUUUGGGAGAGCAUUGCAUUCUUUCUGAAAGUUUCUCUAUAAUUUUUCUGGUAUAUUCCCAGAGCAAGGAACGCUUUGUAUCCACACAGCUGACGCUGGGCUCCGAGCAGCGUUGCUGUAGCUGCAGCCAGGGACAGAUAGUUGCAUAUGCACCUGCCAGAUGAGGCCCCGAGAUGGGUCUCAAUGGAAACCUCUCUCUGUGUUACAGAAACAUUCACUGGCUUGGACUCAGGAGGCUGUUUCAUUUGAAUGUCUGCAUCAUUAGGAUGAUUGGAGACAGUAUUGCUUAGGGCUUAAAAGCCGUUCACGUGGGCUGAUUGACAUUAUAAUCCAUGAGGGUGAAGCCAGAGUCUGUGCUUCUCCCGCCCUGGCCUGGGUUCUUUACUAGCUAAGGCAUGGGUCGUCAGAACCCACAUUUGCCUCGUUUCCCACCAAUCACAGGGGAAUCAUUCAUCUUGAAAGCAAGAUAUAUGUGAGGUGUUCUUUCUGGGGUCACAUUUAACUGAACCCUCUUCUACAAAUGGAAUGAUUUAUUCUAUAGAUAGCCAACAGAGACUUUUGGUUAGAAAUUAUACAAGCAGCAAAAACAUACUUUGUGAAUUAGUUUUCUAGUUCUGAGAUGGAGGAAAUAGGCCAAAGAAUGCUUGGAGGUCCAUACUGCUAAGUUAGACACAGUCAUCUGAUGGGAUGAGGAGUGUCGUUCAGCCUUGUGCAAUGCUUUAGAUAGGCAAAUUGGGUAAAUAGGACUGGCUCUUGGAACUUAGUCUAAUAUUCUUUGGAUUGCAGUAAUUUUCUCUUAAGCAGAGAUACUCAUAUAUCGCACAGUCUUGAUGAAAAUAUUCUUUCUAGAACACUUUCAGGCUCACAUUCUAGAUGUACUUGAACUCUAGAUUUAGUUUCUCCUUUAGCUCUCUGCAGGAAUUCACAUUGGCCAACAGCUUGCAGAUGCCUUUUUGUGAGGUGAUAAUUUUUUUCUUUUUUAAAUUCAACAGCAGCACAUAUCCAAGAUAGGUUUGGACAGAUGUCAUUCUCACAGAUAUCUGGUAGGGGAAGUACAAAGAGCUGCCUCCACACAGAGGAAGGCAGUGUGGACAGGGAAGUGCUAGGAGCCCAGUGACAGGUCUCUGCCUCUCUGUCUUCUGACCUGCAUUUCUCUGUGGCUGGGCUGUCAUCUGGUUGGGGUGGGGACUUCAGGGUGGACUGCACUGCAUCUCUCGGGCAGCUCUUCAUGAGGAAGAACUCAUGGGGAGGGGUUGCAGAGUUCUUUGAUUCUUUUUUUUUCCUCCCCCAAGACAGGGUUUCUCUGUGUAGCCCUGACUAUCCUGGCUCUCACUCUGUAGCCCAGGCUGGCCUCAGAUUCACAGAGAUCCGCCUGCCUCUGCCCCUGAGUGCUGGAAUUAUAUGUGUGCUACCACUGCCAGGCUGAGGCUUUGAUUCUCGUGACAAGGGUGCAAUGUCUCGAAAUGAUUUGUUCGGAUUUCAUGGGAUAGUGGUUCCCAGUGAGUGGGUAUGGUGCUGCGGUUUCCAGAACUGAUCAUAACUCGUUGUCAUCCUUAAUAGUGCUAAGUGUCAGGAUGGUAGAGUAGUUCGAGCCCCAGACUCAAGUUCUGCUUCCCUAGCACUGAUAAGGAUAUGAUGUUAACUUAAUUUCCUGUGUCUGAAUUCGUUACUUUUUUUUUGUAAUUAAACCCACUUCUGAGAUGGUUGGGGAAUAUUUUGAGGUGAAUGGCCUUUGGGUUGUUCUUCUCUGUCUAGAUAGGUUAAGCCUGUUGAUACCACAAACUAAGAUUAUUAAAGGUUUCCUGGGGGCAGCAGAACUGUGGGGGUGAGAAGCUAGGAAGGCGAAGAAAGCCAUUUGUCGUCCUUUUAUUCUAGAGAACUUAAAGUGGCUUCAAGUUUACAGUUCCAUCUUCUGCCCCCAGUGCCAUGUCAUGGCACUGGAUCGUCUUCUCUCACUUUAUCUUUAGCUUGCUGCCUACCUGUCAGUCAAGUGUAUUUUUUUUUUCUUAAAGGUACUGUGGUAUUGGGCUUUGGCCACAGGAACCAGGUCACUGAACGGGAAAGAUGUCAUCCCUGCCUCUACAGGCCACUGUUGAGUUCUACAUGGCUGCCCUACUGGAACACACAGAAAAUAGCAGAAAUGGCCCCGUGUCUACUCUGGGAGAACUUUCUUUGGCCUCUUCUAUUUAUCUGCUUUUGCAGGAUUUUUCUAGAUUUAGAGGGCCUUCUUCCUGUUUUCAGCAAAUGUCUUCAUUUUUCUUCCUCAGUUGCUAGUGGCCACAUCAGGCCAGUGUAGCUGUCCCUGAAAACUUUGGAGCUGACCUGGCCAAGGCCUUUUGGGGGAUCUACAAGGACGGAGAAAGGUGGUUCCUUAUCCAUGUCUCUACUUGGGGCUGAGAGGCCUGGUUAGGGACCCAGCGUCAGCUGGAAAUGGCAAGGAGACUCAGGGGUCACUCCUAGACAGGUUAAGAUGUCAAUACCACAAACCAGAGUUGCUGAGAGUUGCCUGGGCUGAGGAGAGCAUGUGGGGUAUGAAGCAGGGAAGGCUAGAAAGCCCUGUGUGCUUCCCAUGGGCAAUGACUGUUCCAACAACUAGCACAUGUGUGGGGAAAGGAUACAUAAUGGCCUGGAGACUAGGGUGGUGGAAGGCGUGAAGUACCCAAUCGGUGUCUUCACUUUUUUUGGCACUGGCGCCUCUCAGAUCCCAAACAUUGCUUCCAGAAAGAAUAUCUGCAAUAAAUCCGAGCCAGGUUGAGGUUAUGUGGCUAAGUCCACACACAGGUUGGCACUUCGAAGCACAAGGUUUCAGAACAUGGUUGGAUGACAUUGAUAUGUUGGAUACUUCUGUUCCACCUGCAGGUGAUCCCAACAGAGACAUGAAGGAAACCUUGAAGUGCACCGUACACAUCCACAAUCACACUCAGCCACCUUCUCUCAAGAGGCUCCUUCAGCCCCUUCCACACUGCAGCCCAGGUCAAACUUUCAACCUUGCGUGGAGAGUGACCAGCUGUGACGUUCUGGUUGUGGGGUCUCAGGCUCUCCUGCCACACCUGGUGUCUGCUCACUGCUUUCUUCACCCCACUGGGAGCAUCACUGAGUUGGGUCCAGUCCUCAUGUCCUGUCUUCUUUUCUCUUCUCGUCCCUCUGUCCUUGUUGAUUCAGUCUGUACUCAGAUUCUCCUAGUUGUUGCCUGGAAUACCGCAGUUGCUUCUUACCUGGCUCCCUGAGAUUCUCAAAGCAUCUCUCUCACCAUGUUAUUUCCAGGCUUAAAAUGCUCCCUGGCCUCUUGGUGCCCUCAUGAUGCGAUCUGAGCCCUGCAGCAGAUCUGCAGGGCUCCUGAGACUCAGCUACUGUGUUCCCUGGUCCUAUCCACUGUGCUCCCUACUCUGUCUCUGGACAGUGGCUAGAUUGCUCCUCUUGGGCCAUGGUUCCUCCUACUUGGCCCUCCCAGGUUAGGUGCCCUCUGUCUGUCCACCCAGGGCUCAGCAGACCUCUGUCCAGCAGGGAUGUUCUUCACUGCUAUGUCUGUGUCCCUGCAGCUGGUAUCUGCAUAUCUUUGUGGGUUUUCUUUGCUGUGUACACAGCAGUUCCUGGGUGCCUUGGGGUUGCAGUAAGGAAGGGAAGAAAGAUUUGGCAGAUGCAUUAAGCGCGGGCUGGUGUGUUCAGCGUGGCUGGCCACUCUCCUGGACUAUUCUUUAUUUAUCUCCUCUUCCUUUUUUUUUUUUUUUCCCAGACCAAACCAAAACCAAACAAAACAAAACCCUGUGCCCGAGUUCACUAUUUCUGCUUAGGGUACUAGUGGCCGCUAGGCUUCCAGUAGGAAAACCUUAGUGAUGUACAGUUCGCCUCCUAGACUGCUACCACCAAGUGUUGAUGUUGUUGAUGUUCCUUUCCUAUUAUGCCUUUUCCUUUCUUCUUCAUGGUCUGGCUGCACCCUCACUGGGAAAAUUCUCAAGGCUAGGCUUGGAAUGUGCUGUAGCCCACACUGGAGUAGGAUUGCACACACAUGCAAAGUGAGGCUGGGUAUGACCCAGCUUGGAGUGCUUGUCAAGGCCUUGGGUUCCAUCCCCAAUAUCACAAAUUAAUAACAGCAGCAGCAACAAAGCCGUGCUGACAAUUUUCCUCCUUGACUUUCCUCCAUCUUGUUAGGACUGCACCCUUGGCUGGCUGUUUCUCUUGUGUCCUGCCACCAGCCCAAAUUUGACCUUCCCUGACCUUUCCAUGCUUACUUGACUAGGCCCCAGGCACUGACUCCUGCUUGUUUCAGGCUUGGAGUAGCCUUUCCCUGUCUUCACUGAGGACUUGAAGUUCAGGGCUGCCAUCAAGCCGCACCUUCCUGACGAGCCCCAGAGGCACCAAGAGCUCUUCUGUGCUACUGAGGGCUCACCUCACCAACACCGGUCCAUUCUUCUAGCCCUGUGUGCGAGUGGUAUUCUAUGGAUUUGAGGCAAGAGUGAGCCAUCCAGGAAAUUUUCUGCUCCUAGAGCCUCUGCAGUGUUGCGGAGAUUAAUUCAGCUGACUGUCUUCUUCCCUGGAAGAGGAGUGCCUCAAGGGUAAGGGGCCUUCACUGCCCACCAUGGCUGCCCUCCAGUUAAGUUGACCUGAGACCCUCCAGAACACACCAGCCUUAAGUUUGGGCCCAGGCCCUUCUGCACUGAAGGCUGCUCCCAAAUGCCCCAGCCUAGGCUUGGCCCCAGCAGUCGGGGCUCUUACUGGCUCGACUGAGUCCUCACAGAAGGCAUUACAGAUUCCAAGUGCUUCUCUCAUCCUGUGUUGAGUUAUGAGUCUGCUGCUGGACCUCUCUGCACCCCUGCCACCCUAGGGGUAGGGCAAGAGUGUGGCCAACUCCAACUUCUUCUGGACUCUGAAGUUUUCUGCUUCCCGGAUAGCCAGCGAGUUCUGGACUGGUAAAACAAGCACCUGUCAUGCACACUGGCCAGUCAAGCCCAAGCUCCAGUGACCCUAUGUUGAAGUCAUUGACAUCUACCAGAUCUGACAGACUCCCAGAGAAGAAGGGUGGCUUCAAGAGGCUGUUUGAAUAGACAUUCCUCAAUGCUGUGGUCUUCAUGAAGUGCUGGAGGAACUGUCUGAGCUGAAAGAACUGAGGAGAAGGACAUACCUGAGAGCCCCAGUGGAUGCAGCCAGGAACAUCACCAGACGUUGGCAAUCAACAGCCGAGGGUCCCUGUGCUGCCACCCUAACCUGUCCCCGGUGCUUCUGGUUACACUGGGUACUUAAAGACAAAUGGCAUGCAGGCCAUCAACCCGUGACUGCUGUGCAUGAUUGUGUGUGUACUGUCUGGCCAGGCCUGUGUCCAUGGCCCUAAGAUAGCCAUGUUUAUCAAGGCUGGAGUUUAGGUGUGGCAGCGACAGUUACUGAAAGGUAGCUUGCCUCUGCUUGCAGUGAUUACCUCUGUGAUCACUGGUUCCAGAUCAAUGCAGGGAGGGCAGAAGGUGACCAUGCCAAGGCUGGAUAGGGACAUCAAGAUAAGUGAUGGGACAUUAAUAUAUCGUCAGUCACGUGUGUGGCAAAGGGCUUGCAAGUUAAAUACUAUGGUGGUCCAAUAAUUUCUGAGUCCUGCCCAGUUCAAUUCUUGACUGUGUCUUCUGACUCAAUAAUUCAUAGCUGAGGGGCCUAUUAUAGGUGACUUUCUGGGAGUCAGUCCCAGGCCAGCUCAAGCUGUGCUCCCUGAUGUGGGUCAGGAAAGAAGUGAACCUUCAUGGGUGCCCUGACAUUUGGAGGGCAUUUAGGUUCAGCAGUUCUGGCUACAGUGCCAGGAUUUCUAGCUGCCUGAGCUUGGCAGACUCCUUCACCCACCAUGAGCCACAUGCCUUCAACCCUUUUCUCUGCGCGGUACCUGACUUUCAAAACCUUUUUUUUUUUUUUCAACAGGAGAGGGUUCUGUAAAAUGCUUGGUACAAACUGCACCAUAGUGGUCUGAUCUCCUUCCCUCCCUCCCCUCCCCCUAGAGGACUUGUGUCUGACUCUCUCUUGCUCCCUCAUGGCUCUCUGGUAUCUUUUUCCCCAAUAGGAGCUCUAGUUCAAGCAAUCUGGAGCAGAAUUGGAGGAUCCAACCUGGGAGAGUCUGUGUGUGCCCAGCUCUGACAGAGGGGUUCUGGGAUUGCAGAAAGGAGUAGGGCAGCAUAGAGGUGAUGCUGCGGAGUGGAGGCGAGGAGCAAGCGCUCUGGAGUCAGACCACGCUAUAACUCAGUAUGCAGCCUUAGAGGAAGUUACUUAAUUGCACUAUAACUCAGCUUUCCUGGUUAUAAAAUAGGUAUAAAAUUAAUCAACCUCAUGAAUGAUCAGUGCAUUCCAGUGUUGAGCACACCCACCAGUUCCAAUAAAUGCAUAUUGGCACUAACUCCAACAGAGGAGCCAGGAUAGGGAGCUCUGCAGUAGGGUGGGGUGGUCCCCUCAACUGUUGCCAUCUCUCCCACAGAUGGGAGAUAUCAGAGGAUGGAAGUCUUGGAAUAGGUAUCCCUUGAGGGAUGGGAAAUAUUUAUAUUAUUUCUGUAUUUUCAGGUACUGGAGGUGGUUCCCAGAACUUGGCACAGGCUGGACAAGCAUUCCUCCUGUAAGCUAUAAGCAACAGUCCCUGUAGUUUUAGAUGAGCAGAUGGGAAGAUGGGAGGAGGAAAGCGAGCCUCACCGAUCCCUCUAAUCCAUGCAUGUUCUUGACUGCCCCAACUCUUCCCCCCACCUUCUGUAUAAGAAAGCAACUUCAUGGCUUCCAGCUGAGCUUCAUGCUCAGGCAUACUGUGGUAUAUAUACCUGGAGAUCUGCUCUCAGUGAGCAGACAGAAAACUAUCACUACCGUGCCUGCAUUAAACUCAGAGCCAAUGACAUGGGCCUGCCUGUGAAGAGAGGAGUCUGUUUGCAGUCCUCAAACAGCCUCAGCCUUUCUUCUCCUUACCCUUCCUAUCCUGACUGGGGGCGGGGGCGCUCAGGAAGCAUCGUGGCCUGCCAGGCUACCUCAUACAGGCAUGGAAACAGCCUCUUGGCUGUGGGGACACGGCAGACACAACCCUUUCCUAUCAGCACGAGAGGUAGGUUGGAUGCUAGUGUUGGCCCCAAGCUUCCCCUCUGCCAUGUGAUCCCAGUGGCCUCGCAGAGCUUUGCUUACUUAGAGGUUUACUCUCCAAAGAGUCACAUAGAAGAAAGCAGCUUUAGCUGCCUCUCUGCUGGUGUAGUGCUACCUGGGCCAGUGGGACGGGGAGCUGUUUCUGCUGUUCCACCCGUUUCUGUCCACACACCUGACUCUAGCCUUCCUGACUCAUCAUAACCCAUAACCUCCUGCAUUUGGCAUUAGCACUUACGGCCCUAUGAACCUUUCUGUUUCCUAUUGGCCACCUCCGGCUAAUUUUCCAAGAGAUCACUAGUGGUUACUGCUGGGGAAUGCAGACCACCAGACCCCGAAUUUCCUGUAAACAACUUGUUUUCCUCUACUCUGAGCAGCCUGCAGCUGCUCGGAGCAUAAGGCCCUGAUGGUAGGGGAGUGGCUUCUGGUGGCUUGCAGCUGAAAGAGAGCUGGGGUGUGGCCAGAGCACUAUAUAAACUGGUCUUGAACACAAUAAAGAGGGCAUUCUUAUUUCAAGGAUGACCCGCGUCUCUGUGUGCUUAAGUCUCCAUGCCCUUGCUCGGCUUGCAAUUGCGAACCAUCUUGUAGUGCAGGCGCCACACUACAGGCAUAGAACCGUACGUAGUACACGUAGUAGCAUGAACGUUGCAGUUACCUCUUCUUGUGCCACGGUUUGAUCAUGCCUACCUUUGAACACAGGCCAUGAGAGUUCUUGUUACAUAGACCUGACUAGGGCAUUUCCGUGGUCUCGACAGCAUCACUGAUGGGGGUGUGUCACUUUCUUGCCCAUGCUGGUCCCAAACUUCUGGGUGCCUAUGAACCUGCUUCAGCUUUUCAAGAAGCUAGGUCCUCAGACAAACCUGGUAGUCUUUUUUUUUUUUUUUUUUUUUUUUUUUUUUUUUUUUUGGUUUUUCGAGACAGGGUUUCUCUGUGGUUUUGGAGCCUGUCCUGGAACUAGCUCUUGUAGACCAGGCUGGUCUCGAACUCACAGAGAUCCGCCUGCCUCUGCCUCCCAAGUGCUGGGAUUAAAGGCGUGUGCCACCACCGCCCGGCUUUUCUGGUAGUCCUUUUUAAAGAUGAAGAAAGUGAGGCCUGGAGAGCUCAGCCAAGUUGCUUUGAUUGUUUGCUUGCUUUGUGCAUAUUUAACUUCUGAGGUGUGUCAGGCACUGAGAGCGUGCCAGUGAGUAAGAUGGACAGCAAUCUCUGGAGCUUCCAUUAGACUGAGGAAGGGGGAGGAGGUGACCUGUCGAUUGUGUGAAGUGGGAUAGAGAGGGAAGAAUCAAGGUUGCUCUGGGGGAGGCUGAGGCCCAGAAUUGGUGUCAGUUAAUGAAGAUCAGACAGAACCAUGUUGGAGGAUUGAGGAGACAGCUCCUCAUGUGGAGAACUGUGGGUCCUGGAGACAAGAAGUGGAUGGAGAUGUCCCUAAAGUCAAGAGGAGGCCCCAAGUGAAAUAGGAUAGAGUUCCCAAAUAAGCUUUGCAAUUUGGUUUUUUGUUUACUUGCUAAGAAUGGGGAAUGGCUUUCCUACAGGGCUGGAAUUUCCCCCCCCCCCACCAUGGAUGUCUGCUGUAACAUUGUGCUUUUGCUAUGUAAGCCUAUGCCAUAUCACCAAUUUUCAGUAAAGUCUACUACAAACACAAA